rnacentral:rRNA from 1 species
GAUGAACGCUGGCGGCGUGCCUAAUACAUGCAAGUCGAGCGAACAGACGAGGAGCUUGCUCCUCUGACGUUAGCGGCGGACGGGUGAGUAACACGUGGAUAACCUACCUAUAAGACUGGGAUAACUUCGGGAAACCGGAGCUAAUACCGGAUAAUAUAUUGAACCGCAUGGUUCAAUAGUGAAAGACGGUUUUGCUGUCACUUAUAGAUGGAUCCGCGCCGCAUUAGCUAGUUGGUAAGGUAACGGCUUACCAAGGCAACGAUGCGUAGCCGACCUGAGAGGGUGAUCGGCCACACUGGAACUGAGACACGGUCCAGACGCCUACGAGAGGCAGCAGUUGGGAAUCUUCCGCAAUGGGCGAAAGACUGACGGAGCAACGCCGCGUGAGUGAUGAAGGUCUUCGGAUCGUAAAACUCUGUUAUUAGGGAAGAACAAAUGUGUAAGUAACUAUGCACGUCUUGACGGUACCUAAUCAGAAAGCCACGGCUAACUACGUG